AUGCAGUCGAGCGGAGAUGAGGUGCUUGCACCUUAUCUUAGCGGCGGACGGGUGAGUAAUGUUUAGGAAUCUGCCUAUUAGUGGGGGACAACAUUUCGAAAGGAAUGCUAAUACCGCAUACGCCCUACGGGGGAAAGCAGGGGAUCUUCGGACCUUGCGCUAAUAGAUGAGCCUAAGUCGGAUUAGCUAGUUGGUGGGGUAAAGGCCUACCAAGGCGACGAUCUGUAGCGGGUCUGAGAGGAUGAUCCGCCACACUGGGACUGAGACACGGCCCAGACUCCUACGGGAGGCAGCAGUGGGGAAUAUUGGACAAUGGGGGGAACCCUGAUCCAGCCAUGCCGCGUGUGUGAAGAAGGCCUUUUGGUUGUAAAGCACUUUAAGCGAGGAGGAGGAGCUCUAGAUUAAUACUCUAGAUGCUUGGACGUUACUCGCAGAAUAAGCACCGGCUAACUCUGUGCCAGCAGCCGCGGUAAUACAGAGGGUGCAAGCGUUAAUCGGAUUUACUGGGGCGUAAAGCGUGCGUAGGUGGUCUUUUAAGUCGGAUGUGAAAUCCCUGAGCUUAACUUAGGAAUUGCAUUCGAUACUGGGAGACUAGAGUAUGGGAGAGGAUGGUAGAAUUCCAGGUGUAGCGGUGAAAUGCGUAGAGAUCUGGAGGAAUACCGAUGGCGAAGGCAGCCAUCUGGCCUAAUACUGACACUGAGGUACGAAAGCAUGGGGAGCAAACAGGAUUAGAUACCCUGGUAGUCCAUGCCGUAAACGAUGUCUACUAGCCGUUGGGGCCUUUGAGGCUUUAGUGGCGCAGCUAACGCGAUAAGUAGACCGCCUGGGGAGUACGGUCGCAAGACUAAAACUCAAAUGAAUAGACGGGGACCCCGCACAA
rnacentral:rRNA from 1 species